rnacentral:lncRNA from 1 species
GUCCUGACGCUCCGCAGGGACCCCUGACUGGACGGCGGCGCGUGAGCGGAGCGAGAGGCCUCGCCGCGGGGGGGCCGCGGGCUCGCCGGCGCCGCUUACCUGGGGCCGCGCCGGGCCUGCUUAGGCACCCGGCGGGGGCGGCGGCGUCGGGAGCUGCGGCGGCGGCGGGCGGCGGCGGCGGCCGCGGGCUUCGCUCCUUGUUGGGGAUUCGGCGGCGGCGGCGGCGCGGGCGCGCGCUUCCUAGUGACGCAGGCGGCGGGGCCGCGCACGCACGGGGCUGGGAGGGCCGGACACUUAUUUGGCGCUCGCGGAGGAGGAAGGCGGGGCCGUGAAAUAAGGCCCGACGGGCCCCGGGGCGCGUGCGCGGACCGACACUGUCAGCUCCUAACGCCGCAGGUUCCUCCUGGUCCCCGAGGCCCCCGGUCGGGCGUUGCCUGCCCCGCGCGGGCGGCCGGGCCGAGGGACGAUGGUCAGUGGACGGACGGCGCCAGGGAGCAGUGCCCACGCGCGGCAGGGCGGUACCUUCAGGCCUCCAGAGGCUGGGGCUGGCUCUGUUGGCCUCUGUGCUGGGUUUCUUCCUCUGCACCGCAGGACUGGCUCUCCUGACCUCUCCAGGUGUCAUCGAACACCCUUGUGCUUGCUGUCACCCGCUGCCUGUCUGCAGGAUCCCGGAUUCCGUAUCAGGGGACCGAAAUUAGUCGGAAAAUAGGAAGCAGGUGCUCGCUUGGAUGGAACCCUGACCCUGUGCUCACACUUGUAGGAGGAGGGCUCUGCAGGCCGCCUCCCGGAACGGGAGGUUCCCAAGCCACUGCACUUCGGAGGGGCUGUAAUUAGAGUUGCACAUUCAUUCAGUUCCCAGUAAAGUAGAACGUGCUCCAGCCAGUGAGGAAAAGGUGUUUUUAAAAAUUAGAUUGGCCGAGUGCGGUGGCUCAUGCCUUUUACCUCAACACUUUGGGAGACAAAGGUGGGAGGAUCACCUGUGGCCAGGAGUUCAAGACCAGCCUGGGCAACAGAGCCUGUCUCUGGGGAAGAAUAAAAAAAAAAAUUGAGCCUUUGUCAGUGCUACUAUUUUAUUAUCUGGUAAAUAUGAGAGGGUUCACGCGGUCUAUGUGUGUCAUUUAUCUGAGUUUGCCUAUCGUCACGUUUUGGAAAUAAAUGUCAAUAAAGUCGAAGAGGAGUGCUGAGGGGGGCCUGGGGAUGGGAGGGUGGCUACAUCAUGCCUGUGUGUUGCGCAAGCCCACCGAGGUCGGCCUGGGGUGAGCCCUGGGGCCUGUUCUGCCUCCUUCACUCUGGGGCUCCAAGAGACAAACUGGGCAACAAGAGAGAAACUCCAUCUAAAAAAAAAGAAAAAUCACCUCCAAGAUAACUUAGCUUUCUUCUGCUGGCAUAACAAAUUAUCUCAAACUUAGUCGCUUAAAAAUGCAAAUUUAGGCUGAGUGCGGAGGCUCACGCCCAUAAUCCUAGCACUUUGGGAGGCCAAGGCAGGAUUGCUUGAGGCCAGGAGUUCGAGACCAACAUGGCCAG